UNCCCGGGUGGCGAAAGGCNGGCCCCCUGGGACAGAUACCUGACACUCAGAUGCGGAAAGCGUGGGGGAGCAAANCAGGAUUAGAUACCCUGGUAGUCCACGCCGUAAACGAUGUCUACUUGGAGGUUGUGGCCUUGAGCCGUGGCUUUCGGAGCUAACGCGUUAAGUAGACCGCCUGGGGAGUACGGUCGCAAGAUUAAAACUCAAAUGAAUUGACGGGGGCCCGCACAAGCGGUGGAGCAUGUGGUUUAAUUCGAUGCAACGCGAAGAACCUUACCUACUCUUGACAUCUACAGAAGCCAGCGGAGACGCAGGUGUGCCUUCGGGAACUGUAAGACAGGUGCUGCAUGGCUGUCGUCAGCUCGUGUUGUGAAAUGUUGGGUUAAGUCCCGCAACGAGCGCAACCCUUAUCCUUGUUUGCCAGCACUUCGGGUGGGAACUCCAGGGAGACUGCCGGUGAUAAACCGGAGGAAGGUGGGGACGACGUCAAGUCAUCAUGGCCCUUACGAGUAGGGCUACACACGUGCUACAAUGGCGCAUACAGAGGGCGGCCAACUUGCGAAAGUGAGCGAAUCCCAAAAAGUGCGUCGUAGUCCGGAUUGGAGUCUGCAACUCGACUCCAUGAAGUCGGAAUCGCUAGUAAUCGUGGAUCAGAAUGCCACGGUGAAUACGUUCCCGGGCCUUGUACACACCGCCCGUCACACCAUGGGAGUGGGCUGCAAAAGAAGUGGGUAGUUUAACCUUCGGGAGGACGCUCACCACUUUGUGGUUCAUGGCUGGGGUGAAGUCGUAACAAGGUAACCG
rnacentral:rRNA from 1 species